rnacentral:rRNA from 1 species
UACGUAGGGUGCAGGCGUUAAUCGGAAUUACUGGGCGUAAAGCGUGCGCAGGCGGUUUGCUAAGACAGGUGUGAAAUCCCCGGGCUUAACCUGGGAACUGCGCUUGUUACUGGCAGGCUUGAGUGUGGCAGAGGGGGGUGGAAUUCCACGUGUAGCAGUGAAAUGCGUAGAGAUGUGGAGGAACACCGAUGGCGAAGGCAGCCCCCUGGACCGUCUCUGACGCUGAGGUGCGAAAGCUAGGGUAGCAAACGGG